rnacentral:tRNA from 1 species
AGGCCCGUAGCUCAGCUGGCUAGAGCACCUGACUCUUAAUCAGGGUGUCGUGGGUUCGAGCCCCACCGGGCCUA